rnacentral:rRNA from 1 species
AUUGAACGCUGGCGGCAGGCCUAACACAUGCCAGUCCAGCGGAUGAAGGGAGCUUGCUCCUGGAUUCAGCGGCGGACGGGUGAGUAAUGCCUAGGAAUCUGCCUGGUAGUGGGGGAUAACGUCCGGAAACGGGCGCUAAUACCGCAUACGUCCUGAGGGAGAAAGUGGGGGAUCUUCGGACCUCACGCUAUCAGAUGAGCCUAGGUCGGAUUAGCUAGUUGGUGGGGUAAAGGCCUACCAAGGCGACGAUCCGUAACUGGUCUGAGAGGAUGAUCAGUCACACUGGAACGGAGACACGGUCCAGACUCCUACGGGAGGCAGCAGUGGGGAAUAUUGGACAAUGGGCGAAAGCCUGAUCCAGCCAUGCCGCGUGUGUGAAGAAGGUCUUCGGAUUGUAAAGCACUUUAAGUUGGGAGGAAGGGCAGUAAGUUAAUACCUUGCUGUUUUGACGUUACCAACAGAAUAAGCACCGGCUAACUUCGUG